AGGACUAAGCUGUUGAUAAAUUAUAAUGGGUAAAAGAAGGAUAUGCACUCUGUAACUCCAGAUUGGCUGGAUGUAUUGCUAAUUUGCUAUAUGCUAAAUGCUACUGUCUGCUAUCUGUGCUGAAUCCUACUGUUGCUAUUGUAUUGUUGUCUGCUGUUGUUGUUGUAUUGCUGUCUGCUGCUGUUGAAUCCUACUGCUGCUGCUUAUCUUUCUUCUUCUUUCUUCUUUUUGUUAAGCUGUUGAUCUU
rnacentral:lncRNA from 1 species